CAGUAUGACAGCCUUUGAUUACACAAACAUACAGGAAUAACAACUCUUGAUUAUCCAGAGCUCAAGCUGCUCAUAUCCUCUGCACAUGAGCAGCUUGAGCUGAUUCUAUCAAAUGAUAAUACAGUAUAUUUGUAACUAACUCAGCAGCUCAUUCUCUUUCUACUGUCGAAUACUUUAAGUCACAAGAACUUCUCAUUUUACAUGGCUACAUACACAGGCCCUAUUCAUUUACAUGGUUUAACAUAAGACCAUAUAGAUUAGCACGUUUACCUGGAUAUACUUCAUUACUGUACUGCAUGGUAACUGGUAGUACAAGCAUUUGGCCACAUGAUGGCGAUGUUGAUCUUAAAUUGAUGUUAAGUUAAUAUUGAGAUGAUAUUUCUUUGAUAAUCAGCAACAAAAAGACUUUUUUUUUUCUUUUUUUUUUACCAAGACAGGAUGAAAAGUCAUUUCUUUGUAUAGAACUUUGUGAGCAUAGUGACAAAGUGCUUUACAGAACAGAGAUACUGUGAGUCCCAGAAUGCAAACCUGCCAUCUGCAUGCGACCACAGAGAAUACCAGAUGAUUCAUGCUACUCAGAAAUAUGGAACUACGUGGAUUGGAGGGACUGAUGCUCCACAGACACCAGCGAGGGAGGAUAAGAAAGACACUGGAGAGACCAAACAGCCACUUCACAAGCGCAUGGCACAACACAGAAGAGCCACCUCCACAGGACAAGACU